rnacentral:rRNA from 1 species
CUCAAAUUUAUAAUCUGGCACCUUCGGUGUCCGAGUUGUAAUCUCUAGAAAUGUUUUCCGCGUUGGACCGCACACAAGUCUGUUGGAAUACAGCGGCAUAGUGGUGAGACCCCCGUAUAUGGUGCGGACGCCCAGCGCUUUGUGAUACAUUUUCGAAGAGUCGAGUUGUUUGGGAAUGCAGCUCAAAUUGGGUGGUAAAUUCCAUCUAAAGCUAAAUAUUGGCGAGAGACCGAUAGCGAACAAGUACCGUGAGGGAAAGAUGAAAAGCACUUUGGAAAGAGAGUUAACAGUACGUGAAAUUGUUGGAAGGGAAACGCUUGAAGUCAGACUUGCUUGCCGAGCAAUCGGUUUGCAGGCCAGCAUCAGUUUUCCGGGAUGGAUAAUGGUAGAGAGAAGGUAGCAGUUUCGGCUGUGUUAUAGCUCUCUGCUGGAUACAUCUUGGGGGACUGAGGAACGCAGUGUGCCUUUGGCGGGGGUUUCGAC